AGUAAUUAAAAUACACCUUCGUUAAUUUAAAGAGAUUCACGGUCUUAAUAUUUUUUUAUCGGGUUGGUAACAUUCGCAAAACGUGAAAAAUGAAAACAUAAAUAAAAUGAAUGAUAAAUAAGCUAUAGAAUAGAUUAAUAGAAUGUGACAUAGCUAAUAAAUCUAAAAUGUUAUCGUCAAAGAAAACAUAUAUACAUGUAACCAACUUGUGUAUGUGUUUUGUUAUGCUGUUUUGUUGGACAGGCAAGUGUUCUACGUGUAUAUGUCCGGGGAGAAGACGGGAAGAGUAAUUAGAUACGAUAUGAAGAAGAAAGAGGCCACAGUUGUAAUGGACAAACUUCAUUUACCUAAUGGUUUAGCUCUAAGCAAGGACGGGUCGUUUGUACUCACCUGCGAAAGUGGUACAAAUACUAUCCACAGAAUAUGGGUCAAGGGUCCUAAAGCCGGGACCAACGAGGUUUUUGCAAAGAUCCCGGGUCCUAUGGACAAUAUCAGACGCACGCCUACGGGAGAUUUUUGGGUCGCGUUGCACUCCAAGGACAGUUUGUUCACUCGUGUGUUUCUGAGUCACUCUUUGGUCGGAAAGUUUUUCAUCAAGACGCUGAAGGUGGAGACUGUGGUUCAUCUCAUUAAUGGAGGAAAACCUCAUGGAAUUGUUGUGAAACUCUCUGGAGAGACAGGAGAGAUUCUUGAGACACUUGAGGACAGUGAAGGGAAGACGAUGAAGUAUGUUAGUGAAGCUUACGAGAGAGAAGAUGGCAACUUAUGGUUUGGGUCUGUGUAUUGGCCGGCCGUUUGGGUGCUUGAUAAUUCUGUUUACGGUCUCAAAUGAGUUAGCAAAUGCAAACAAAAAGUAAUAAUUUGGUGGUAUGAUCUUCUUUUUUCUAACUUGUUAGAAGACAUGCAUCUUCCUUUGUACCUUCUUGUUGUUGUGUGAGUGGACUUUGAUUUGUUGGUUUAGUUGAGUAGUUUAAUGUAGUUUUGUGAGAUUUUAUAAUUUUUGACAUAAAACGAAAAUUGUGUUGUGUUCGGCGUGACUAUGUCUUCUAGAAAUUUUGACAAAGUACUCGACGACAAGGGGAACAUGAUGCCCAAGAGUUGCUCGUCUUGAUAAGAAUCGCUAGUUCUCACGAGGCCCGAGUUGGUUUAUUUGAUUUGACUUUACAUGAUUUAAUUUAUAUAUUCGUUAAAUAAUAUUCUAAUUAUUAAUUUGUUUUUAAAAAAUUUCAUAUAACGAUUUACGAUCAUUUAUGAUGUACAUCUUUUUUUUCUCAACCAUUUAUGAUGUACAUGAGUACAUCUAGUUAGGGUUCUAGGUUGAUUUUUUCUUUUUGCUAACAUCCUAAGCACUACGUCUACUCUACUUGAACUGGCUUCUGAUCUGAAGUUUGGUUUGAUUAUCCUGCUAAAUGUGAAUUAGUACUCAAGUUCAAAAUGUAACUUAUACUCUUGCCACUUUUUAAAUUUAAUGUACCAAAAGUUAACAAAAAAAUUCUUUUAAAUGUUAAAGCCUAUCUUGAAUUUUUUUUUAAACAUUAUUUAAUCAGUGGCAGAAAACAAUACAUUCAAAAUAAUUAGUUAUUAAUCUUUUUCAUAAGAUGUGGACUUAUUCAGCUCUUAUCUAUUUUUAAAAGAUGUAUGCUUAAUUUAUUUUCCACAUAUUUAAAAUAGAAUAAAUUUUAAUAACACAUAUACUAUUUAUGUAAGUAUUAAUUUUAAAUAAUUGCAAAUUAAUAUAUUUAAUAAGUAUAGUUAAUAUUUUUGAAGUUCGUAACUUAUCAUUAUUAACUAAUAAAAAUGUAUAAAAUAAGACCUGUUCUGAAAAAAAUAUCUUUCUAAUAUAGAAGGAUUAAUAUAUAUCAAAAAUUAAACAAAUUGUAAUUAACAAUGGAAAUGGCCAUUCGUCUAAUUGUAAACUUGUAGUGGAGAAAGAUUUAUUCUUACUUUAAUGUGAUUCGUGUCGGUAAAAGAUGUCCGAGGGUCCGGUGAUGUGAUCAUGUGGAACAAGAUGGAGCACCAGGCCUUUCCCUUUCCAAGCUUUAAUUAUUUUGCAUGAUUACUUCUCAAAAUACUAUAGUAGCUACGAAAUUACAGUAUUCCGACUAACCAUACGUGUAGGUUGUCAAAAAGAUAUCAUACUUUGUCUGCUCUUGGGUGUGUAUCAUAUUGCAUAUGGAAUUUGAUAUGCGCGAGAGGAUUUGUAUAAGUAUAUUAUAUAAGUUUUUUUUUCUAUUUUGAAUAAUCAUAUCUUUCUGAAUUUUCCUUAAGUUUAUUUCUGUUUUUUUUUUUUUGAUAAAAUGAUAAAUUUAAAAUAUUUGACCGACUACUAUAUUUUAAAUAGAUAGAUAUCAGAGCAUCCAUAUAAAGAAAGUGAAUUUCUUAACAAAAAAGUUAUUUUAAAGAAAGAAAAAAUAUGAGAAAGAGGGUAAAAAUGAAAAAUCAUUUUUCUUCUGAGAAACUCUUACUUAUCUUAGAGAGAUCACAAUGCCCUUUACCAUUCUUUGACGAGUUCAUUUUUUGACAUCAAAGUUAAAUCAGAUAAUAAAAUUGCCUAAAAUGUUUAUAUAGUAAUAGCGAGAAACUAUUCUAGAAAUACUUUUAGUGUUGAUGUCCGUACUGCUUAGAGUUUAAUCACGGUGUUAGUGCUCUAUAUAUAUAGGGUUUAAAUUCCAGAAAAAAAAUUAUAAACACAUAUGUAUAUAGUUUGUCGAAGAUUUUUGGGUAUAUUUUUCGUAGAACUGUAUAAUAUGUGUCGAGAUAAUAACAGGUUGAUUUGUAUAUUAUAAAAGAAUACCAUUUAAAUAACUAUUCACAGUGUUGCAUAUAUUUAAAUUCAAUUUGUUCAUUCAAGAUAAUAGAUAACCAGAUAAGAUCAUAUUCAAGAAAGAUACACAAAACGCAUUUCUCUUGCCAUAGGAUAAGACUUGUGUUUGACGUAACAAGAGAAAUAUACUCGUGGCUGUGCCUAUGAUUUGGACACUUUCCUUUCUUACCUCACGUUUCAAAAUCAACAACCUUAAUUAGUACAAAAGGGAACUUUUUCCUAAAAGUAAAAACGUUACAUUGGAUGAUUCCACGUAUGGAUUUCAUUCACGGCGUAUUCAUAUUUUAUAGCUGACACUUCGACAGAAAUGGCAAUACGUGUACAUCGUUUCUGCAUCCACACAACAAAGAAAUAUCUACACUCCUUUGUCCAUUUUCGUCUGAUUUAUAUAAAUAUUGUCACGUUGAUCAUGUAAGCUAAUAACAGCUAGUGUUACACACGUCUCUUCAACCAUCAUAUUCGUCUCUGGUGGAGAAAAUGCCGAUUAGUGAGAAACUUCCGACUUGGGCCGUUGUCCCGGCUGUUUUUGCCGUCUUUUCCGUAAUUUCGUAUCAGAUCCUAAUCGCGCCAGACAAUUUGAACGGCACCAAAAAUGUAUUGUCGAUGGCUAAGACCAUACCACUUCCUGUCGAUGGACCAGAGAGCAUUGAGUGGGACCCGCAAGGAGGAGGUCCUUAUGCUGCUGUUGUGGACGGCCGUAUUCUCAAGUGGCGUGGAGAUGGUCUCGGUUGGGUUGAGUUCGCAUACACAUCUCCUCACAGGUUUUUCUUAGUAUUACAACGUUUAUUAGAGCACAUUAACACAUGCAUAGUGACUAAAUAGUUUGAGGAAAACUAAACAAUUUGUUUAAUUAUUUAUUUUGUUUUCUUUAGAGGACUAUGAGGAUUUUACUGUAUUGUGCCGGAGCCUUUUCAUAUUUUUCCUUCUAUCCAAUAAAAUUAGAAAGAAAUUUUUUUAUAUAUUAAUACUAUUAUUUGCGACAUGAUUUUUCGAUUCUGAAAUAUUAUAUUAAAAUUUAGAGUGGUUUAAAUCAAUGAUAUCUUUAGUAAAUUUUUAUAUUAAUAAUGUUAUAUUUCUAUGGUAUAUUAGAUAACUGAUUAUAAAUUAAUUUAAUAAAAUUUUCAAAACUAAAAUUAUAUAUUUUUAAAAAGAUAAUUCGUAUACAUUAUGCUGUUUGUCUAUAAAUACUAUUUUUACUAUCAAAUUUAAAAAUUAAAAUGCAAAUAAUUUAUAAUUAAAUAUUAAUCAAGAAAAAAUAUUGUAUAAAGAUAUUUCUAAAAUAUUUAUAAUAUGUGAGUGAUUUAAAAAACAAUUGACAUAAUAAUAAACAAAUAUAUGUUAUUGAACAAAAUUUGUUAUAUAUAAAUGAUUUGAUGUUUGAUAACUUUUGAAAAUAUUAAUAAUAAUUUACUAGAACUCGACUCAUGUUCCCGAACGUAAAGUCAUAAACCGCUGGUUACAGCGGCGGAUGUAGAGCCUACAAGGGUGGGGCAUCUUCCCCCUAUGAGUUUUUUUUAUAAAAGUUUUUCUUUACUAAAUUAUAAUGAAUUUUGAAGAAAUUGAAUAAAUUUGCCUCCCAUAAAACCUCAAACCUAGGGUUAAGUAUGCCUCAUUUGUAAGUUUGAAAAUUUUGCCCCCUAUUAUAAAACUUUCUAGAUCCGCCACUGGCUGGUUAUAUAAAAAAUUCUAUGUAUAUUUUUUAUGUUUUGUAAUUUAUAUAUAGAAUAGAAUAUAUUAUUUUAUAAUGUAUAUGUUUGAUAAUAAAAAAAAUUAUUUGUACAUAAUAUUAUAUUAAAAAUUUUUAUAACUUGAUGCAAUUUGAUAUAAUUGUACUAUUCUUAUAUUAACCUGUUGUUUUCUUGUUAAUUUAUUUUAAGAUGAAAAAACAUACUAAAUUUUUUAAUUUUUUGCAUUAGUUUUCUAUGAAUUAUUAUUUAUUUUAUGAUAAUUUGUUUCUUAAAAUAUUGAACUCUGGAAUUUUUUAUAUUUGACUAAACUAAAUAGGAUAAUACUACAUUUAAAAAUUGUUUUAUAUAAUAUAUACUAUAUAUUUCAGUUUGUGCUUUUAUUUUCACCACAAAAAACAACAAUCAAUGUAAUUAAUUAAUUUAGAUUAAUUUUUAAUGCUGUGGCAGAAUCUAGAAUCUGUAAUAUAAAUACAAAAAGAAGCACUUAAUUAAUUUUAAAUGUAAAGGCUAAAUGUGUAAAUAAUAGGAAGUAUUUAAUCUGCUAUUUAUGUUUUUAAACAAUUCUCAUUUAUAUUUUUAUACAUGUUUCCAAACAGUACUAAAAAGUAUUCCAGUUUUAAUAAUUUAGAUUAUGUUAAUUUUUGAAUGAAUUAAACAUAAAUCGAUAAGUAUUCGUAAGAAAUCGCAUGUGCGGAAAACAGUAUAUAUAUGUUUACAGUUUACACUAUGGAAGUUUUUUAUAAUAAUAACAAUGAUAUAUUAUCCAUGUUGUACGUAGAGGGAACUGUUCGCGGCAUGAAGUGGUACCUACAUGUGGAAGGCCACUAGGACUUAGUUUCGAGAAGAAAACAGGAGACUUGUACAUAUGUGAUGGUUACCUCGGGGUCAUGAAGGUCGGGCCAGAAGGAGGCUUGGCUGAGUUGGUAGUGGACCAGGCUGAAGGUCGAAAAGUAAUGUUUGCGAACCAGAUGGAUAUUGACGAAGAGGAAGAUGUCUUCUACUUCAAUGACAGUAGUGACAAGUAUCAUUUCAGGUAUAUUUUAGGCUUUACCAAACUUAUAUAUGCCCUUAGGAUCAACCAAUUUUCAAAAAGUUUUUAAUGUUUUAAUGUUUAAGCUUUACUUAACAUUUUAAUGUGUUUUUUUCUCCAGUGAAACACAAAUUUUAGCAGUUUAAAUUUUUCUUUUUCAAGUUAUAAAUAACAAAUAAAUGGAUAGAAGUUGUAGGGUGUUUCCGGUUACAUUUUAACAUAUAUUUUAAUGUAUAAAUGCUAACGCAGAAAAAUUAGCGUUUGAACAAUCUAAAUUUUAAAUCUAACUGUGAUUUUUGUUGGUCAGGGAUGUAUUUUACGUGAUUGUCAACGGUGAGCGGCCAGGAAGAGUGAUCAGAUACAAUAAGAAGACGAAAGAGGCCAAGGUUGUCAUGGACAAUCUCCGUUGUAACAACGGUUUGGCUCUAAACAAAGAUAGAUCUUUCUUAAUCUCAUGUGAGUCUGCCACUGGCCUUGUCCAUCGAUAUUGGAUCAAAGGUCCUAAAGCUGGGACUCGUGACAUCUUCGCCAAGGUUCCUGGUUAUCCUGACAACAUCCGUUUGACACCCACUGGUGAUUUUUGGAUUGGUAUACACUGUAAGAAAAACUUACUAGGAAGACUGGUCGUGAAUAAUCAGUGGUUAGGGAAGUUGGUUGAAAAGACUGUGAAGUUAGAGUUAUUGAUUGGGUUAGUGAACGGGUUUAAGCCGCAUGGGGUGGCCGUGAAGAUCUCCGGGGAGACGGGAGAGAUAGUGGAGAUACUUGAGGACAAAGAAGGGAAGACAAUGCAGUAUGUGAGUGAGGCUUAUGAGAGAGAUGAUGGUAAGAUAUGGUUUGGGUCCGUUUUCACGCCUGCCGUAUGGGUUCUUGAUCGCAAGUGAGUGAUUCCCAUUUGUUGUAUGUACGUAGUCAUGUUUUGUAAGUUAAGUGUCUCUUGUUUGUUGCUUGUAUUUAAAAAUAUAGACAUGCUUGUAGAGUGGAUGCAUCCACUGUAUCAUGUACAGUUUCAAUAACUAAAUACUUCUGGAGGGAAAAUGAGUACUUUAUUCCCCAAGUAUUUGAAAUCGACAGUUUUAAUAUUCAAGUAUUGCUCGCGCAGAAUUAUUUCCCAACUAAUAGUUGGCUGCGCGAAAUUGAGAACAUAAUAGUCAACCAUUAACUAAUGAACGGAAAAAUAACGGUUUCGUUAAUUUUUUAACAGUUAAAUAUUAUAAUCAUAGUUUUGCACAUUCAGUGAUUAGUUAAGGAAUAAAUAUGCGCAUAUCAUAUUUAUGUAUUUAAUUUUUCGAUUGAAAAUACUUGAAAAAAUAAAAGGAACAAUCUUUUUUAGACACUUGUAUAAACUACUAUAGACAAUUAUAUAUUGUAAAUUAGAAAUACAGUGCAAAUGUAGUUAUCUUAAAAACUAAAAAUAUUUUUUUCAGGUUUUAACUAGGAAUUAUUUUAUAAAUCAUCUAAAAUGAUUUUAUAAACAUGAAGUACAUCAACGAUACAAUGUAACUAUAGUUGUUUUGUAUUGUUUUAUAUGUCAUUGUAAAAACUCAACAAUCGCUUUCAGAAAAGUUAAUAUCUAGUAUAAUGAUUUUAAUUUAUAUUGAAAAUAUUUUUAAUUAUGUUUUUCUUAAAGAAAAUUAAUGUUCGUGAUUUUCAAUCUUAUAAAGAAUAUAAAAGGUGAGUUUUUAAUUUCUCAAGUAUUUUCAAUCGGUAAAUUAAAUAUUCAAGUAUUAUAUGCGCAUAUUUAUUCUCCUACUAAUCUUUGAGUGCGCAAAAUUAUGAUUCAAAUAUUUAACCACCGUCUCUCAGUUAAUAGUUGACUAUUUUGUGCAGUCAACUGUUAGUUGGGGAAUAAUUCUGCGCGAGCAAUACUUGAGUAUUAAAAUUGCCAAUUUCAAAUACUUGGGGAAUAAUAUGCCCGUGUUUUCAGCAAUAUUAUUAUUAAUUGUGACUGGACAUAGCUCUCGUGUGGUACGUAGUAAGGGUGGGCACUUUACCCGAUACCCGAAGUCACAUCCGAACCCGACCCGAAAAACCCGAACCGAAGUAGCAAAAUACCCGAACGGGUUAAGUUAGGAGAGAUUGAAUAUCCGAACCCGAACAUGAGAUAUCCGAAUCCGAAUGGAUAUCUGAAGAUAACCGAACAUAUAUAUACUUACCCUUAUAUUUCUAGUUUACAUCUCUUAUUUAAAAAAAAUAUAUAUAUUGAUGUUACACAUUCUUUAAGAUCAUAAGUAUAUAUAAUUAUGGAGAAAAUUAUUUGAUAUUCAAUUAAAAUGAAUGUCAAUUUUUUUGUUUCAUGUAUUAACAAAAGUUACAUUCAAAGUUUAAAAACAAUACCCAAAUUAAUAUCUAUUUUGUUUUUGAAAUAUUAUCUCCAAACUUAUUAAUCAUUCAAUCUAUAAAAAUAAAAAAAUCAGUUAAAUGAAAUUUACAUUUUUAAAUACAAGAAACUUAAAAAAUGGAAAAAACUAAUUUUUUUUCUUUUAAAAUCUAUAUAUCCUAACCUGAUUCAAAAUAACUGAAACCGACCCGAAGUACAGAAAUACCCGAACGGAUUCUCUAUCCCUAUACCGAAAUACCCGAAUAUGUUUUCUAUUCCUAUACCGAAAUACCCGAAAAUCCGAAAUAUUCGUCCCGACCCCGAACAUGUAUCCGAAUGCCCACCCCUAGUACAUAACUCUGGCGUGUGCCCACUAACGUCCGGAGAUCCAAAUAUUUCUCUUUAUAGUAUCAGUAAGUCGUAUAACACUUCGGAAACACUUAUUAUAUAGUUUCUUAAAUUUUAUUUAACAAUAGAGAUUUAUUUGUUUAUUUUAUCCUAUUAUCCGGACAUAAAUAUAUUCUACAAUUAUUUCUCCACCUAUAGUUAAGGGAAGUCCCAGCUUCAAGAGAAAACAUAAUCUUUAGAACUUGUCAUUAAUCAAGUGCCAGUAUCAACGUCGUUUAUGGCAAGCUUGUUGGAGCUUUCAAUUCAGGGAUAAAAGUGAAGAUCUUCCAAGGAUUUCUUCACAUUGAGCAAGCCUCUCCCACCAACAUCAUAUCUUCUGUUUUAAUGUACUCUUUGUUGUUCAUCUUAUCGUCGACUAUGGCUCCUGUUGUAACCACUUAGACUUUUGAGUUUUAAUAUAUUUCGUUUUACAAAAAAAAAGAACUUGUCAUUAAUCAAACAAUAAUGUGUGCAUUAGUCCCUCCAGUGUUCCCAAACUUUGGGUGGCCAUCGACAGGAGAGUACGAGAAUUACUACCGUCGACAGGAGAGCCCGAGAGAACCUCGACGACUUUACGUUUCUUGAUUUUCCGGCACUAGAGACAUAUGGAAUGGAACAUCAGGAGAUUCAGGAAAUUUUGGGGGUCUCUGUUCCGUCCGAGGGGAAUGGGGUUGUAACCAAGAAGCUUAAUCACAAUGCUAGUGAGCGUGACCGUCACAAGAAGAUCAAGUCUUUGUUCUCAUCUCUCCGUUCAUGUCUUCCAGCUUCUGAUCCGGUAAGUAGCUACUCCGCUAUAACGUAUAUUAAUCAGAGCCGUGCUCAGGCUUUUGAAAAAGGCAUUUGCCUAGGACUCCCAAAUUUUGUAGAAAUUUUAGGAUCCCAAAUUACAAAAAAAAAAAAACUUUUACAUGGUAGUUAACAUAUUCUUUUAGUUAAAUUUUUAUUUUUAUUUGAAUUUAAAUUAGACUUCUGUUUAAAGUAACUAGGUUUGUGAUCAUUUUUUUUAUAUUUUAAAUAAAAGUAUAAAGAUUCUACUUCUAAAAAACUGUAAAUAUUUAAUCACAUUGGUCUUUUCUUUUAUAUGAUAUGAGUUAGAUUUAUUUUAUAUAUUUAUGAGAAUUUGAUAAAGAAAAUAUAAUAUUUUCAAUAUAUAGUUUAUUAUAGUUAAUUUAAAUGCUAAGAUUUACAUUUUUGACAGCUACUAAUAUUUCAAUCAAAAAUUUAUAUCUUUGUAUUUAUAUUACAAAUUCAUACUUUUUGUUCAUGAUUUAAAAAUUUUAUAAAUAAAAUUUUGGUAAAGAAAAUUUAGAAAACGUUUAUGUAAUAAUUCAAAACUUUUGAGUGUUAUACAUAUAUAUAUAUAUAUAUAUGUAUAUAUAUUAUUAAAAAUAUGUCAUGUAAAAUAUAUUUUUAAACUAACCUCGGGCCUCCGAAAACGUUCGCACGGCACUGCUAUUAAUCAGUUUCACCUCAAAACCGAUUAACAAUAAUGAGAUAAUUAGUCUGCUCAUUACAUUAUUUUUAUGUGAUAUUUAUAAAACGCUUGUCCAUGCAUCUAAUACCAUUUAGAGGAAGAACAUUAAAUUAACUCUUUUUUUCUUUAAUUACUUUCUUGCAGAAGAAGCUAAGUAUUCCUCAGACGGUUUCUCGGAGCUUGAGUACAUACCGGAGCUACAAGAAGAAGUAAAGAAGUUAAUAAAAAAGAAGGAACUCUUGGUGCGUGUAUCAGGUCAAAGAGCCAUUGAACAUUACGUUGAGCCGCAACCAAAGACCGACGUUGCACGUUACGUCUCAACCAUUUCUGCAACCAAGCUAGGAGACAACGAAGUGAUGGUCCAGAUCUCAUCGUCCAAGAUUCAUAAUUUUUCGAUAUCUAAUGUGUUGAGUGGGUUAGAAGAAGAUGGGUUUUGUUCUUAUGGAUAUUUCAUCUUCAAGGUCUCAAGGAGAAAGACUCUUCUACACUUUGCAUCUUCAAAUGGGAAAUAAAGAAAAUCACAAACUGACGUGCGAAGAGCUAAGCCAGAGAAUGUUGUACUUGUAUGAGGAAUGUGGAAACUCGUUUAGAUGAUAAUUUGUUCUUGUUUCUUUUAGUUAUGUCAUCCGCUGAACAUCUAACAUUCAUGUAGUCAACUUGUUUCGUUUAUUUUUCUUGUCGAAGUCAAUGAUCGACAUUUACAUGCUACUGAAUAUACACUAAUUACUAUGAAAUUCAUGUUACCACUGAAAACUUUUAAUUUUUAUCUAGACUUUUUUCUUUGGGUUCCCAACCUUUUGUUGUCUUCUACUCUUUGUUUAUGUAUUUUUUUUUUAUUAUUUACAUAUUGUUAACAGUUAGUUGUGUAUUGUGUAUUAAUAAAAUCAACAAAGACAAAAGUGGUCCUUAUAAUAACUGUAUCACUAAUAUGAUAUUAUGUACAAUAUUAUAAAAAGUUACCAUUUUUUCUUUGAGAAAAAUAUAGAAUUUUGUUAUAUACUAAAUGCUUGGCUCUAUCAGGUGCAGGUGAUAAUAGAUGGUCCAGCCAUUAGAGUACAUGAAAAAAGAGAAGGCAUGGUUAGAGCACCCCCAUUAGUGAAUUUAUGGGGGGUUCACACACAUUCCCAAAAAAAAAAAAUUAUUAAAAUAAGGAAUAGUGAUGAACCUGUCUCUCUCCACCCCUUCUCAGUGAACCUGGUUCAUCACUGUAGCGCGGGCCCCACGGCACGUGGCGGCCCGCGACUGGUCCGAAAAAAUAAUUUUUUUUUUUUUUUUUUUUUUAAAAAACAAAAAUUAACCCAAAAAAAAAUAAUAAAAAAAUGUUUUGUGAACCCCUUUCAUGGGGUUCACUAAUGGGGAUGCUCUUAUCCAUUGAUCUUGGAGUUUAUAUAUAAAGAAGUGCACAUUGGCCAGGUUAGGAGACAUUAGAAUACAUGAUAAAAUAGAAGUCAUGAUUAUCCAUUGAUCUUGGAGUUUAUAUAUAUAUAGAGAAGUACACAUUAGCCAGAUUGCAAAACUACAAGAAAACAAAUAAUAAAAAAGUAACAUUCUCAUCUUUAACAGAAAAAGACGAUCUAACAAAUGUCUUGGCAAAUGAAUACUUAAUGUGUUUUUUCUUAAACAAAUUUAUUGUAUUUUUUGUUGCAACAUAUACUAAUUAAUUUUGUAUAGUUGUCUCCCUUCUUAUUUUUCAUUUUUUUUAUUUUUAUUGUUUUACAAUUUAAAACUUUUAUUUUCAGUUUUUGGCUUUGCUAAAAAUAUAAAUUUACAGGAUCAUAAUUGUAGCUUCCGGAGUAAUCUAAUGCAGGUCACAAUAAGAAUCUAUGAAACCUCAUUGAUUCACAUUUACAAUUUUCUGUUCUUGAAAGAGUAACUAAACCAGAACAUCCCUUAUAUAUUAAAAGAGAAGCAUUACAAUAUAUUUUCUAACCACAUGUCAUCACCACAAUCAUUCUUAGAAUUCUUAGAAAAAUAUGUUGGUCCAUAUAAAUAUAUAAUAAGCGUUUUAUUAAACUAACCAUAAAUUAAUCAUAAAUGUUCUUCAUUGUUUUCUUAAAUAAAAUUCACGGAAUUACCUAAUGUGGCUAAAGUAUACAUGACAAUUAAUGAUUUUGAAUAAUAAAGAUUUGAUAAAAAUUAGUCUAUUCUCUAUCAUUUUUUAAAAAUUUUAACUUAUUAAAAUACUAAACAACCACAUUAACUAUAUAAUAAAAAUUUUUGAUUUUUCGUAUAUGUUAUAUUUUGAAAUUUUAAAAACGAAUAAAAAUGACUAAAAUUGUUAAAAAUCUCACAUUGAAAUUUUUGUGAUCCAUGGUUUAAAAUUUCUAUUAUAACAAGAUACAAAUGAUUAUGAAAUUACAUAAGUAUGAAGUCUCAUUUAAUAAAUAUUAUAUAUAUAUAUGUAUAUUAAUAUUUUUUAAAAUAAAUUAUAUACCAUAUAAAAUACAUAAUGUAUUUUAAUUUCGAAAUUUGCUUUGAUUUUUUUGGAUAAACAUUUUGAACAAUUAUUGACAACUUAAUAUUUAGAUUUUAAACUUUGCAUUGAAUGUUUUUAAAUUUAUAAAUUACUAAAACUAUUAAACACCCAACAAAUUUUUUUAUUGUUAUCAGUGAUUUAAGAUUUUUGUUAUAAAGAAAUACAAAUGAUCAAAAAUAAUAUGAAUAUAAAAUAUUUUAUAUUAAAAAUAUACUAUAUAUCUAUGUUAAUAUCAUUUAAACUUAAUUUUAUACUAUAUAAAAUAGAAAAAAGUGUUUGUCUGGAUUAAUAAAAUUUAUUUAAGUAUGUGUACCAAUUUAAUUAUAUACGUAAUAAUUCCUAAAUUUUUACUUAUUCAAUAUAUAUUUAUUAUUUCAUAAUAUGUAAAAAAUAUAUAAUACUUAAAAAUAAUUUAUAUAUAAUAUUCAUUCCGCGCAAGGCGCGGAUCUUAACCUAGUAUUUUUUAUUUUUUUUGUCAACAAACCAGUUUACCACAGUAUUUAUAAACAAUGGCUUUGUAUUAAAUACCGAGACCGUAUUUAAUUAAGAUAAUUAAAGCUAUUAAAAAUUGAAAUGCUUAUGUAUAGGCUUACGACAUCAAGAUGCUUAUUAUAAGAUUUUUCAGAAAUAGGGUUAAAACAACCAAAUGUCUGGGAUGAUGAAGCCAAAAUCAUCUUCCACCUGAUUACCACACGCCUCCAACAGUAUCUUAUGCUGACUCAUACUUCAGUAUGUAAAUAAUAAUGUUACUAUAGUUUUGAUAUGCCUCUUCAAUUCCCGCUUAUUAUUUCCAAGGAAGGAUUACUGGACCUAGUGCAUGCGUGGAACAUAAGCUCUCGAACGUGCCAAACUGUGUCCUACCGCUACCGAGACCUACAUAUUUAUCAUUAUAGUAAAUAUAAGUAUAACGCAUAACAAUAUAGUCUGAACGAAUCAAAUUACAACUUUAUUAUAUAGUUUGUCAAUUAAUAUCUAACAACAUAAAUUUAUUUUUUAAAUCCUUUAUCCGCUAUAUAAUCGGGAGACAAUUUUAUUCCAGCCAAAAGCACAGCUUCGAUAGAAAACAUAAGCUAUAAACUUGUCUCUUAUUAAGCAAAGAAAAUGUGUGCAUUGGUCCCUCCAUUGUUCCGAAACUUCGGUUGGUCGUUGACGGGAGAGUACGAGAGCUACUACGGUGGUGGAGAUCACCUCACCAACGGCACAAUUUUUGAUUUUCCGGAGACUUUUGGAGUGGUUCAUCAACAGAACAGAUUAUGGGUUUCUGUUUCGUCAGAAGGAAUUGGAAUAGACAAGAAUCCGGUUGUAACCAAGAAGCUUAAACACAAUGCAAGCGAGCGUGACCGUCGCAAGAAGAUAAACUCUUUGUUCUCAUCUCUGCGUUCAUGUCUUCCAGCCUCUGAUCAGUCGGUAAGUAGCUACUCUGAUAAGUCAUAUAUGUCUGUAUUAUUUAGAGGAAGAAUAUUAAACUAACACUUUUUCUUUACUUUCUUGCAGAAGAAGUUAAGUAUUCCUCAAACAGUUUCGAGGAGCUUGAAGUACAUACCAGAGCUGCAAGAGGAAGUGAAGAAGCUAAUACAAAAGAAGGAAGAAUUUUUGGUGCGAGUAUCGGGUCAAAGAGACAUUGAACAUCACGUUAAGCAGCAACCAAAGGUGGUUGCGCGUUAUGUCUCGACUGUGUCUGUGACUAGGCUUGGAGACAACAAAGUGAUGGUCCAAAUCUCAUCGUCCAAGAUUCAUAGCUUUUCGAUAUCUAAUGUGUUAAGUGGGUUAGAAGAAGAUGGGUUUGUUCUUGUGGAUGUUUCAUCCCCAAGGUCUCAUGAUGAAAGGCUUUUCUACACUUUGCAUCUUCAAAUGGGAUAUAUUGAUUACAAGAUGAAUUGCACAGAAUUAAGUCAGAGGAUUUUGUAUUUGUACGAGGAAUGUGGGAACUCAUUUAGAAGAUAACUUGUUUUGUUUCUUUUCGUUAUGUCGUUCCUUUCUCUUGAACAUCGAACAUUCUUGAUCCCUGAGCAUUGUAAUUGAGUUGUUUCGGUUUACUAUGCAAAUAAUAUUACAGAAUUAAAAUUUUAAUUCUUUUUAUUUACUUCGACUCAACAUUACUGGUAAUAUACUCUUGUUUGGAAAUUUCGCUAGGUGUUGUACAUAACUUGAAUAGGCCUACUAAAUGGUGAAAAUAUCAAAAAUUAUCAGAGAUUUAUUUUUGCCAGCACAUGCGCGCAUAAUUCUCUUAUUACUUUUUAAUAAAUAUAUAUUAGUUUAAAAAUUGAAAUUUUAAUUCAAAUAUUAAAUUUAUACUAUUUUAUGAAUCUUUUAGUUUCUUAAUUUUACUUUUACUGAUUUAAAACAUUAUUUUGGAUAAAACAUUAAUAUAUUAAUUUAAAAUAUGUUGUUAUCUAAUUAAAUAAACAUAUAUCUAAUUGUUAAUAUAAAGUGAUGUUAUCAGACAAAAUGUAAGGCUAUGAAUAUGAUGCAGUGCAAAAGCACAAGAAACACAAGAGGAAUAGUCUUCAGUUUUAUCUGCACUUUUUGUUUAUUCAUCAUUAAUAUGCAGAACAAAAAGAAAAUAAUAUAAUAUUUUGUAAACUGUUUGUAAAUAAUUUUAUAUGUAAAAAUAAAAUUGUCCCGCAAACAUAGCAAAAACAUAUAUUUUUACUUGACAUAUUCAUAAAUUUAACAUAAUUUUCUGUAUAAAUAUUUAUUUAGCUACACUAAAUAAUCUUAUGUAAUAUUUAAAUAAAUAGAAAAACAUAUAUGGCUGGUUUGAUUUUUCUUAUUGAUAAUAAUUAACAUAAAUAGAAUAAAUAACAUUUAUUUGCAAAAAUUAAAUUUCAUCUUAUAAGAUUUUUAUAGAAAUCAGUUAAAUGAAUUCAUGAAUUUUAUUAAUUGAUUAUAUAUAUAUUUAUAAAUUUAAAUAGUUAUUUUAUUAUCAUUCAUAUUUUAGACAAUGAAAUAUCAUAUAUCAUUUCUUUUUUUUCCAUCAUACAUACAUGUAUAUAUAUAUUAUAAGACAUUCAUGUAUUUUAUCCUUUGUUUAACUGGUUUUUCAUAUUUCAGGUUAUAUAUAUCCCCAAAAAUAAUUGAAAAAUAAAAGUACAUUUUCAAUUUGUUUCUUAAGUGAAUUAUAAAUUUUUUUAAUAUGUUAAAAAUAAGAUAUUUGGAGUUUAGACAAGGAAAACUUAUACUCCCUCUGUUUUUAUUUGUAGGUAGUUUAACAUAAAAGCACGCAGAUUAAGACUUCUUAACUUUUUAGAAAUCAGCAAAGAAAACACGUUGCUUUAUCUAUAACACAUUUAUUUUGUCUGGAAUAAAUGUUGUUAUGGUCACGUAUCAAUUUAUUUUUAUGAUUUAUUGUCUUCUUAUGAGGUACAUUAAUUAUUUCAAAACAUCAAAACAAAACAUACAUAGAAUAGAAAUAAAAACAAAGAUUAAAAAAACUUAGGACAAUUAAUCUUCAAUAUAGCCAAUAUAGUGUCUUCAAUUUCUCUGUCGGGAUGAAGCUCUCCAAUAUCAUAAUGCAUCUUAUUCAAGUCAAAUGGCCGAGUGAACAUCUGCAAGUUUGAUUGUGUUUUGUUGAUGUUUUGAACAUUUUCUGUUUUGUUUUCUUUUUGAUCUUUUUCAUCUUCUUGUUCCAUUAUUUUCUGAAGAAAAAAAUAGUUAAAUGUUUUUUAAUUAUAUUAUUUUAUUGCUUUGGAUUCUGCAACAUCUUAUAUUGUGAAACAAAUCUAUUUUGCUAAAACUACCUACAAAUAAAAACAGAGGGAGUAACAAACAUUAGAGAAAUUAUUGCAAAUAUGUUAUGCACAAACAAAAAUACUCUAUAUUAACCUUUUCAAUUUAAUUGUAUGUUGGAAUUGUAUUUAUUUUUAUGUAGUGUUAAAUUUUCAUUAACUAGUUCGAUCUACAUUUGUUCAGUAAAUUAUUUGAUCUGUAUAUGUUUACUUGAUAUGCAUUGUAUGUUUGAUCCGCAUAUUUUUUUGAUCUGCGUUCCCAUUAAUUGUCGGUAGUGUUUCCUAUUGGUACAGUAACAAAAACGAGUCAUUGGUCCCUUGUUCUGAGUGUUUAUCUGAGAAAGAAUAGUUUAGUAUCAUCGAGACUAGUGGCCUAGAAAACAUCGUAUGGGUCAAUGAUCAAGAAAGUUUUGUUCAGAAAAGAAAAAGUAUAAAGACAAAAGGUAGAACACUGAUUGAGACAUAUAAGCCUUUUUGGUUAAAGAGAACACUAAUAUGUACCUGUUCAACGUGUGUAACGUGUGUUGUGUCCGAAACACUUGAAAAAGAAUAUCUGUUUUAUCUAUUUAAUAGAGUAAUCAAGUGCGCUAUCAUCAUUCACAUAACAACUUCGCCUGAGAGACAAGACAGAUGCCGAUCAGCGAGAGAGUUCUGAAGCAGGUUGCAGCCUUUCCAGUUGUUUUAGCCAUCGUUUGCUAUUUCUUCUGGCCAUCAAUCAUCGCGCCGGACCUCCUAAAGGGCACGAAGGACGUUCUCCAAGUGGCUAAGACCAUUCCUCUCCCUGGUGAUGGACCAGAGAGCUUAGAAUUUGAUUCACAAGGUGAAGGCCCUUACGUUGGCGUCACUGACGGUCGCAUCCUCAAAUGGCGCGGUGAAGAGCUAGGAUGGGUUGAGUUUGCCUACUCUUCUCCUCACAGGUUCAUUCCUAACAAAAAGUUGCCAACCUUCCUAUGUUUUCGUUGUUCCAUAAUUAGUCGUCCAAUAUAUUUUCAUCAAUGUUCAACAAAUCAUUAAGUAGUAAUUAAACGUUUUAUAGGGGAUUAGGAUAUAGGUGCGCCUAUACACUGUCUAAACCGAUUUUGAAAGAUAGUUCUAAAAAUCUUUUUGCUUAAGACUAAUUUAUUUAUGACCGAUUUGUUAGAACAUUGCUUUUCAUUACCUUGCUAAUGAAUCUGACCCCCCUUUUGUUUUGGUGAGUGAAGAGAUAACUGUUCGAGGCAUAAAGUAGUUCCAAGUUGCGGGAGACCAUUGGGACUUAGCUUCCAUAAGGAAACAGGAGAUUUGUACUUCUGUGAUGGUUACUUUGGGGUCAUGAAGGUCGGACCAGAGGGAGGCUUGGCCGAGUUAGUUGUUGAUGAAGCCGAAGGUCACAAAGUCAUGUUUGCGAACCAAAUGGAUAUAGACCAAGAGGAAGACGUCUUCUACUUCAAUGAUAGCAGCGAUAAAUACCACUUCGAGUAAUUAAAAUACACCUUCGUUAAUUUACAGAGAUUCACGGUCUUAAUAUUUUUUUUAUCUGGUUGGUAAUAUUAGCAAAACGUGGAAAUGACAAUAAAAAUAAAAUGAAUAAUAAAUAAACUAUAGUAUAGAUUAACAGAAUGUGACGACAUAGCUAAUAUAUCUAAAAUAUGAUCGUAUAUUAUAUAAAAAAAACAUAUAUACAUGUAACCAACUUGUGUAUGUGUUAUGUUUGUUUUGUUGGACAGGCAAGUGUUCUACGUGUAUAUGUCAGGGGAGAAGACAGGAAGAGUAAUUAGAUACGAUAUGAAGAAGAAAGAGGCCACAGUUAUAAUGGACAAACUUCAUUUACCUAAUGGUUUAGCUCUAAGCAAGGACGGAUCUUUUGUACUCACCUGCGAAAGUGGUACAAAUACUAUCCACAGAAUAUGGGUCA
rnacentral:lncRNA from 1 species